GGCACCUCGGGAUCUGGAAAGUUUGUAAAGAAAAGAUCCGGGUCCCACGCAGAGGUCACGUCCCUCUCAUCGUCCUCUCCGGGAGGGUCCUCCGACUUCAGACUCACGUGAAGGGAUGGCCCCGUGGGAUUCGGAGGCCCCGGGCCCAAAUCCUGCGUCUCCUCUGACCGCCACCACUGCGGGAGGGAGCGCACUGCGUCAAUGGAACAGACUUCACCUUGGCCUGUUCGGGAAUUGGUUCCUGAAAACCAAUCCUGUAUGUAAAGACUGAACUGCUGCCAAAGAAGACUGAGCUCACCCC